rnacentral:rRNA from 1 species
UACGUAGGCAGCGAGCGUUGUUCGGAAUUACUGGGCGUAAAGAGUGUGUAGGCGGUGCUCCCAGUCUGUUGUGAAAUCUCCCGGCUUAACUGGGAGGGUGCAGCGGAAACUAGAGUGCUAGAGGGUGGGAGAGGUAAGCGGAAUUCCUGGUGUAGCGGUGAAAUGCGCAGAUAUCAGGAGGAACACCGGUGGCGAAGGCGGGUCUCUGGGCCGAUACUGACGCUGAGGAGCGAAAGCGUGGGGAGCGAACAGG